rnacentral:ncRNA from 1 species
UUCUUAUCAAGAGAGAGGGAGGGACUGACCCUGUGAACUCUCGGCAACCAGUUUGAUGCUGAUAUUUUCAGAUUGAAUCAGGUGCCAAAUUCAGAGGAAUCCACUAAGAUUCCAUAGAUGAGAA